CGCCGCUCGCCUCCCCGCCGAGAUCGAGGAGGCGCCAAUAGCGAGAGGGUUUCCUCUUCCCUCCACGGCUCCAACGAGCCCCCGGCCCCUCCGCCUCAAAUCCCACGCGCCCGGUUGGCCGCCGCCCCCGCCAUGGAUGUGGAUCUGUGGAUCUCCAAGGUCAAGGAGGGCCAGCACCUCGCCGAGCACGAGCUUCAGUCGCUCUGCGAAUACGUGAAGGAGAUCCUCAUCGAAGAGUCGAACGUUCAACCGGUGAAUAGCCCUGUGACGGUUUGCGGUGACAUCCAUGGGCAGUUCCAUGACCUGAUGAAGCUCUUCGCGACGGGGGGCCACGUCCCAGAGACGAACUAUAUUUUCAUGGGUGAUUUUGUGGACCGUGGCUUCAACAGUCUGGAGGUUUUCACCAUCCUGUUGCUACUAAAAGCGAGGUAUCCUGCACACAUAACCCUUCUGCGUGGAAAUCAUGAAAGUAGGCAGUUGACACAGGUAUAUUCUUGUAUGUGAAAAACAUUAAUUCUGUACAGUUCAUAGUUUUUCUGAUUUAGGCCACUUUGGUUGCAACUAAAUGCCUUGAGUGGCUGAGUCCAAUAUAUGUCUCCAUGAUUCUUUGUUCUGCUCUUUACUUGUGAGCUCAAAAGGUGUUGUAUUCAUCUGGUCACCCUCCACUGUGCCCUCAGAAUUGUGAAUAGGGAUGCAAGGUGUAUGGUUUCUAUGAUGAGUGUCAGAGGAAGUAUGGCAACGCCAAUGCAUGGCGGUAUUGCACUGAUGUUUUUGAUUACCUUACGCUAUCAGCAAUCAUUAAUGGUCAAGUCCUCUGUGUUCAUGGCGGUCUUUCUCCUGAUGUACGUACUAUUGAUCAGAUACGAACAAUUGAUCGCAAUUGUGAAAUUCCCCAUGAAGGUCCUUUCUGCGACCUUAUGUGGAGUGACCCUGAGGAGAUAGAGACAUGGGCUGUUAGUCCCCGUGGAGCAGGUUGGCUGUUUGGAUCGCGCGUCACAGCAGAGUUCAACUUUGUUAACGGUAUCGAGCUAGUUUGCCGGGCUCACCAGCUGGUCCAGGAAGGCUUAAAGUACAUGUUCCAGGAGAAGGGCCUUGUCACUGUGUGGUCUGCACCUAAUUAUUGCUACAGAUGUGGCAAUGUCGCUUCUAUCUUAAGCUUCGAUGAGAAGAUGGAAAGGGAUGUCAAGUUCUUCACAGAGACAGAGGAGAACAACCAGAUGCGAGGCCCAAGGACCGCAGUCCCAUAUUUCCUAUGACUUCAAUUGUACAAUUUUAGAAGUCUAUUCGAAUCUGUAAGGGCUAAAGAUCAAUCAGAUGUGUUUAUUGUUUUAGGUCCAGAUUAUAGUGCAAUCUGAUGCGUUUGAUUUCUGUUUUCCUUUAACCACAUGUACAAUAGACCAUCGGGACAGUCAUAUGUUCCUGUAUCUCUUCGGUGACACUGCCAAAGUUUUGUUUGUGAUUUUGUUCCCGUGCU